rnacentral:rRNA from 1 species
GAUUAUGGCUCAGGACGAACGCUGGCGGCGUGCUUAACACAUGCAAGUCGAGCGAUGAAGCUCCUUCGGGAGUGGAUAGCGGCGGACGGGUGAGUAACACGUGGGCAACCUGCCUUGUAGAGAGGAAUAGCCAUUCGAAAGGAUGAUUAAUACCUCAUAAUAUUGUAGCUUCGCAUGAAGCAACAACCAAAGGAGCAAUCCACUACAAGAUGGGCCCGCGGCGCAUUAGCUAGUUGGUGGGGUAACGGCUCACCAAGGCGACGAUGCGUAGCCGACCUGAGAGGGUGAUCGGCCACAUUGGGACUGAGACACGGCCCAGACUCCUACGGGAGGCAGCAGGUGGGGAAUAUUGCACAAUGGGGGAAACCCUGAUGCAGCCAACGCCGCGUGAGUGAUGACGGUCUUCGGAUUGUAAAGCUCUGUCUUCAGGGACGAUAAUGACGGUACCUGAGGAGGAAGCCACGGCUAACUACGUGCCAGCCGCCGC